AUAUACAUACAUCACUCAAGUAGCAUGUGCUCAAUCAUAUCGUCACCCCUCUUUCACACCUACAUGAAUGUCACACCUUGGGACUAACACCUUGCCACCAUCUGGAAGAGGAUGUCCUCCCCCUCCCCGGCACCACCACACUGCACUCAACCCUCCCACCACUAUCAUUCCAACCUCCCACUGAUGUGUUAGAUCCCUGAACCCCUACCUACUGUUCUUUACAAUGUGUUUAUAAUGUGUACAUUUUUAGCUUAGCGGCUGGUAAGACCAAAUACACUAUAUUAUUACUAUUAACACACACACACUUGACCAAUAAGCCCAGGCCACAACAACCAGCCCAGCACAGUCACCAAAAAGAUCAGACCUUUCACAGGACCCACCAACCACAUGAAGCCUGGGGUGGAAAGUGAAUAACAGAUCAUGCCGUCACAGUCACCAUUUGUUCCAACAGAUGAAUAUUUUCUGUUCUCUGUGCUACACACAGCCCUGUAACACCACCACAACAAACACCUGCACUCACACACACAGCAGAACUGAAUCAGCACAGCACCUCAGGAGAAGUGGACCUUCAUGUGCCUGACAAUCUCACACUUAGUCAUGAAACGUUUCCCACAAACAUCGCACUUGAACCCUUUAUGACCAGAGUGUCUGAAGAGGUGCCUGUCCAAUAUACUCUUCAGUUUGAACCUUUUCCCACAAACUUCACACUCAUGACUUCUUGCAUCAGUGUGUGUAACAAGGUGUAAUUUGAGGUUACCCUUCCGACUGAAACAUUUCCCACAAACUUCACACUCAUGCUUUCUUUCACCAAUGUGUAUAAGAGUGUGUAAUUUGAGGUUACUCUUCUGACUGAAACAUUUCCCACAAACUUCACACUCAUGAUUUCUUUCACCAGUGUGUGUAAGAGUGUGUAAUUUGAGGUUACUCUUCUGACUGAAACAUUUCCCACAAACUUCACACUCAUGAUUUCUUUCACCAGUGUGUGUAAGAGUGUGUAAUUUGAGGGUACCCUUCUGACUGAAACAUUUUCCACAAACUUCACACUUAUAAUCUUUUUCACCAGUGUGUGUAAGGGUGUGUUUCCUGAGGAUACUCUUCAGACUGAAACAUUUUCCACAAACUUCACACUCAUGAUUUCUUUCACCAGUGUGUGUAAGGGUGUGUGUGUUGAGGUGACCCUUCUGACUGAAACAUUUCCCACAAACUUCACACUCAUGAUUUCUUGCACCAGUGUGUGUAAGGGUGUGUGUGUUGAGGUGACCCUUCUGAUUGAAACAUUUCCCACAAACUUCACACUCAUGGUUUCUUGCACCAGUGUGUGUAAGGGUGUGAUGUUUGGGGUUACUCCUAUUACUAAACCUUUUGCCACACUCCCGACUUUCAUGAGGUCUUACACCAGAGUGUGUGGGUGUAUUUGUUGAGGUCAUCCUUCCCUGCAUGUCUUUUCUCACACUCUUGGCUUUGGUCAGUAAACUUGCUCUCAUUCUCAGAUCUUCUCACACUUCUGAAAUUCAAACUUCCCCCUUUGUGGAUGAAGAGGCCAGCAGUUGUUGUUGUUAGUGGUGGUUGUGUUGGUGGUGUUUUUUAUCACUCCUGAACCUCACACCAGUAGCAGUCUGCUCCUGCUGAUCCCAGCCACUCCAGCUGCUGUCCCGCCUUGCAGCCUCCACUGCAACACUACUCUGGAUGUGAGGAGUUGGCUGGCCUUGAGGAACCUCAGAGAUGCUGGAGAAGGCGGUGAGGUUGCUUCAAAGCCACACUCAGUGACCAAUUGAGCAGGCAAGGCGAGGGAUGCACCAAGGAGU